GAUGAACGCUGGCGGCGUGCCUAAUACAUGCAAGUCGAGCGAACAGACGAGGAGCUUGCUCCUCUGACGUUAGCGGCGGACGGGUGAGUAACACGUGGAUAACCUACCUAUAAGACUGGGAUAACUUCGGGAAACCGGAGCUAAUACCGGAUAAUAUAUUGAACCGCAUGGUUCAAUAGUGAAAGACGGUUUUGCUGUCACUUAUAGAUGGAUCCGCGCCGCAUUAGCUAGUUGGUAAGGUAACGGCUUACCAAGGCAACGAUGCGUAGCCGACCUGAGAGGGUGAUCGACCACACUGGAACUGAGACACGGUCCUGACUCCUACGGGAGGCAGCAGUAGGGAAUCUGCCGCAAUGGGCGAAAGCCUGACGGAGCAACGCCGCGUGAGUGAUGAAGGUCUUCGGAUCGUAAAACUCUGUUAUUAGGGAAGAACAAAUGUGUAAGUAACUAUGCACGUCUUGACGGUACCUAAUCAGAAAGCCACGGCUAACUACGUG
rnacentral:rRNA from 1 species